AACGCACGAGACCUGCGGACCUGCGGAGGGAUCAUUACAAGUGACCCCGGUCUAACCACCGGGAUGUUCAUAACCCUUUGUUGUCCGACUCUGUUGCCUCCGGGGCGACCCUGCCUUCGGGCGGGGGCUCCGGGUGGACACUUCAAACUCUUGCGUAACUUUGCAGUCUGAGUAAAUUUAAUUAAUAAAUUAAAACUUUCAACAACGGAUCUCU
rnacentral:misc_RNA from 1 species